rnacentral:lncRNA from 1 species
AAAAGAGCCUUUGAUUUGGGAGCAACUGGAGUGAUGACGGACUACCCAACCAAGCUUAAGGAUUUCUUAAACAAUUUUUCAGCAUAAAAAAAAAAAAGUAACUCCGAAUCAUUCAAAGGAGUCAUGACCAGAAUAGAUCUGAGGGAAGGUGUGUUAACCAUGGUUCCCCUGGGAUUUCCAGGAUGAUAAAAGGUUUAAUCAGUUAAGUUUUAAUACCUCAUUUUUUAAGUCUGUACGGGAAUGUAGGAACGUCCCUGUCUUGUGUAUUUAUUUUCACCAAUAUUUGCAUAUUUUACAUUGGUAACUUGUUUGAAGGUAACUGGCAACUGAAAUGUAGAUCAUUGAUCAAGAUGUCUGCAUAUGAUGCAGCUUUCUACUAUUGUAAAUCUGAAAUCAAAGACUGGAGGCAAACUAUGUGUUAGCCUUCACUGAGACAGGAUCAACCAUAGGAAAGAAGAUUCCUGAGCCGGGCAUGGUGACAUGAGCCUGCAGUGCCACCACACGGGGUGGGGAGCUAAGGCAAGAGGAUCAGGGGGUUGAGGCCAGCUUGGGCUACAUAGUGAAAAACCCUGUCCUUAAUUUUUUUUUUAUAAGAAAGCAGAAAAUUAUUGAAGGCCAUUACAGCCGUUCUGAAUUAUCUCGUAUGUCUAGGUGCGUCUUAGUUUAGGGGAAAUUGAGGGGAAGAGGAACCCGAAGGUGCAGCCAGGCAGUGUGUGCUGUUCACAGGGGGCAAAUUCAAGCCAGUAACAGUUUGUUAUUACUCAGAAACCCAAUCUGUGAGCUGAGACAGACUCCUGGGUUAUGGUUGUCAAUGGAGACAUUCCGAUUAGAGUCUUUUUUUUUUUUUUCAGGUGUGUGACAAUGCUGUCAUGCCUAAUUUUUUCUUAUGUCUUUAAAAAAAAAAUAGACAUUAUAAAAUAAGAUCCAAUUAGUCAUGUUUUUAUGUUUCCUUAAAAACUACUCGAUUCUUACCUUUGGGCUUGACUAGACUGAUCCUGGGUCUGAGUUGUCAGUGAUGUGGCAACCCUAUAGUGAUUGGCUGGUGACAACACUGUUGCGGGCGUGUUUAGCAUGAGCCACAUGCUCCUGAUCUCUCUCACUUCUCUGAAGCGCAGACCCAGCCAGAGUUAACCCAGCAUUAUACACCACUUCUCUGCCUUCCGAUGUGACUCCAUGCAGACCUGUCCCUGGCCUUUGUGACUAAUUUAAUGAUGUCAGAUUGGGAGAUAAAUUCAGUAUAGAGUACUAGACGUCUUUUGCCUAAAUUAUGUCUCUGCUGUGGGGCCUGCCACGCACAGCUAUGGAGGGCAGCCUCAUGCUCCCUUCUGUUGCUUUGUGGUCUAAAUUGUAAUAAAGUUUUCCAAGAAUAAAACGAGGUAUUGAUUUUCUU